GAAAUGCGAUAAGUAAUGUGAAUUGCAGAAUUCAGUGAAUCAUCGAAUCUUUGAACGCACAUUGCGCCCGCCAGUAUUCUGGCGGGCAUGCCUGUCCGAGCGUCAUUGCUGCCCUUCAAGCCCGGCUUGUGUGUUGGGUCGUCGUCCCCUCCGGGGGACGGGCCCGAAAGGCAGCGGCGGCACCGCGUCCGGUCCUCGAGCGUAUGGGGCUUUGUCACCCGCUCGAUAAGGACCGGCCGGGCGCCAGCCGGCGUCUCCAACCUUUUUUUCUCAGGUUGACCUCGGAUCAGGUAGGGAUACCCGCUGAACUUAAGC
rnacentral:misc_RNA from 1 species